rnacentral:rRNA from 1 species
CACGUAGGCACCAAGCGUUGUCCGGAUUUAUUGGGCGUAAAGAGCCCGUAGGCGGUUCAGUAAGUCGGGUGUGAAAACUUUGGGCUUAACCCAAAGCGUGCAUCCGAUACUGCUGUGACUUGAGUUCGGUAGGGGAGUGGGGAAUUCCUAGUGUAGCGGUGAAAUGCGCAGAUAUUAGGAGGAACACCGGUGGCGAAGGCGCCACUCUGGGCCGAAACUGACGCUGAGGAGCGAAAGCAUGGGUAGCAAACAGG